rnacentral:lncRNA from 1 species
CUCCAGAUGGCAAAUAUUAAGUAAAUGCUUAUUAAUUUAAUAUAAUGGUUUUUAUGAUUAUCUAUAUUCUUUAUACUAAAUAGAUAAUAUCCUCUAUUAAUGCCUGGCUCUAAUGAAAGUGACCCUGGGGUUCUUAAAGUUUAUGUCAAUAAAACAAAAGCUCUGGAAGGCCCAACUGAGAUGGAAUGGUUUAAAGUAUAGCCUAUGUCUUUGUUUCAGAACCAAACUAGCUAAAUUUAGAGAGGCUCAUUAUUGAGUCAGUGGCAGGGAAAUGGAUAAAUUUUUCUAUCAAAGUGACUUUCAAAGACAUUUUCCUAAGUGAUAAAGAGGUUGUAACCCCUAUUGGAAGUUCCAACAACCAACAUCACAAGUAGUAUCUUUGAAGUCAUAUGCAAAUUUAACAAUAAUAUGCAAACUAAAAUUUAAGUUUUAUUAAAACAGGUUAAUUUUAAAAUGUUUUUCAAAACGAAAAUUAAUUCUUAAGGACAACAAACUUAAAUGAUCAAUUCAAGAUUACUAACCUAACAAAUUUUAGGUUAAGGUCCCAAAGUGCAACAUACAAUUUAAAAAAAAAAAAAAACACACAUACUCACUUUAAGAACAUGAUUUACCAUUCACAUCUGAUCAACAUAGGGUCCUCUCCAACUAAACAUUAGACCAGCAGUAAUGGUUGGAUUUUUAAUAUGAGACAAGACAAUUUCUUUUCUUAUCUUUUUUUUUUUUAACAGUAAAGAAAAUCCUGAUUAUAAGUUUUUAAAAUAUUGAGACUUCUAAUUUACAAACAUCAUUAAGCUAUUUGAAAUUUUAAAAUAAAAAUUUUUUUUUAAAACUUGAAUCAUCCUAUUAGCGUCUAUGCUGGACAAAUUAAGCUUUCAACAAUUUAAGACUUUCAUUUCUAACCUUUUUUGUACAUUCAAUGAAUUAAGAACAAGUUAUCUUACUUCAAUUCAACUAAUAUUUAUGUCUAGACUCUGUUCAAGGCAUUCUACUACAUGUAAAGAAACCAAUACAAAAAUCUCUCAUUUAUAAUAACCAUUAUAUUUUGAAAAAAAGUUUUCAGUAUAGAUUUAUAGACCUUCAUUAGUCAUCAAUAUUAACCACAGAAGGACCCUCCAUUCCACAGUAAAUAUUUUUCCCUCAUUGAUUUUUUUUUGGAACUUUGAGGAAAAAUACCAAAGUCAGAUUUCAAAAACUAGAAAUAUGGAUUGUUCCCGGAACAUAAGAAAAAAGAACACUAGAAUGAACAAAAUAUUUCAUUAUAUUUCUUGAUAUUUCCUGUCAUUUUAAUUUAUAUCAAUAACUUUUAUUGUUUAUCAUUUUGAAGUAAGAGGCUUUUGAGUACAUACAUAUUUUGAGUACAGGCAGUCACUAUGAAAUCUGAGGAGACCAUAUCAACGACAGAAUGCAGGUCACUGUGACAUGGCAGACAACAGAGCAAAGUCAAAAUUGAAAUUCAUCAUAUGCUGACUGAGCAUCUUGAUAGAAAAAAAAUUUUUAAGUGGAAGUAUCAGUUUUCCAAGGUGUCUCAGCCCAGCAUUCUUCAAAGAAUUAUGUCUUUACCUCAUUCCUGGAAGGUCAGAGAAGGGCAAUCAACUGUUAAUUCAUUUUGAUUUUUGGUUUUAUUCCUAACCAUUUUGGAUACUCUAAAUACAAUCAUUUUUAUUUUAAAGCCAACCAAAAUAAUAACUAAGGCUUGGUCAUAUCAUCAACUAAAUCUGAUUCUGCCCUCAGAGAACUUACAACUCCAGGUUUCCUUGCUGUGUCACCACUUUCCACUGCCUGGCACUGUGGAGUUCAUCUCAGUACUGGCUGUCUGACUUUUCUAUUUGCAUUCUAGGGCACGGCACGUAGUAGGUACUUUCUCCCCCGACGGGCAGUAUUUAUCUUCCUUAUCAAUAAUUUUGUGGUUUGUAAUUUUUAUAUGGUGACAUAUAUAAUUUUUUUGUAUGGAAAACGGUUAUGCGGGAAGGCGUCCCUAAGUACUGGCUGUCUGACUUUUCUAUUUGCAUUCUAGGGCAGGACACAUAGUAGGUACUUUCUCCCCCGACGGGCAGUAUUUAUCUUCCUUAUCAAUAAUUUUGUGGUUUGUAAUUUUUAUAUGGUGACAUAUAUAAUUUUUUUGUAUGGAAAACGGUUAUGCGGGAAGGCGUCCCUAAGUACUGGCUGUCUGACUUUUCUAUUUGCAUUCUAGGGCAGGGCACAUAGUAGGUACUUUCUCCCCCGACAGGCAGUUGAAAUUUUCCUAGGAUGCUGAAAUGAUCCCUCAUUUAUCUUCCUCAUCAAUAAUAUUUGUGGUUUAUAAUUUUUAUAUGGUGGUAUAUAUAAUUUUUUUGUAUGGAAAACGGUUAUACGGGAAGGAAUCCCUGUCUGACUUUUCUAUUUGCGUUCUAGGGCACAUGGCACACAGUAGGUACUUAAUGUUUCAUGUAUUCAUUCUGAAAUCCACAUAUUCAUUCCAGAGUCUCUCCCCGACAACACGCCCGAACUUUCUCUCCCUCCAAACUAGGGGUUCUUGGUCUUUAUGGGAACCCCUCCCCCCAACACACACACGGUUUGGUGACCUCUACGGGCCCCUUCUCAGAACAUUGUUUUUUAGGCGCUAAAUUUUAGCGGUCCGUAAAUAAAGUUGUAGCUAUUUUAGAAGCCAAGGUCAAAGGCCCCUGUUCU